CCUCUCGCUGUCGUUGACUUUAUGUGUGUUUCGUUGGCGGGGCCUCGUUCAUUUUGACCGUGUAAUCGCUGUGCUGUGGUGGGCCUGAAGGAGGGUCAAAGGUGCGUCGACGUGCCCGGGUCAGAAAGCUGUGGGGAGCAAGAGCAACGCCACGAAAAUGCACGAAAAGCAACUAAAGGAGAAGCAACGCUUCGAUGUGCACCUCCGCCGCCUUGGCGAGCGUGUUUACCCCUCCAUGGAAGAUGGGUUUGAUCGGGAGCUAGCGAAGCUGCGCCGCAUCGACGCAUAUAUCCGGAGCAAUUUGGAUGAGUACUAUAGCGCGUCACUCGGUUCGAGCAUGGCGAAGAACCGCUUCCCCGAUGUGAAGCCGAACGAGGGCACGAUCGUGCGCCUGAACGAGACCGGUUCCCAAGGAGACGGCACGUACAUCAAUGCCAACUACAUCGACGCGCGCGAAAAGUUCAAGGUGCCUUUUGUGUACAUUGCGACGCAGGCACCAAUGAAGAACACUGUGCUGGAUUUUUGGCGCAUGGUGUAUGAGAAUGACUCGGCCUUCAUUGUGAUGCUCUGCGCGGUGAAGGAGAACGGCAAGAUAAAGAGUGAAACCUAUUGGCCCCCACGAGGCGCCGCAUACGACAUGGGGGUGCUGUCCGUCACCCUCGUCGCGGAGAACAUGCGGCCGGACUCGGUUCAUCGGCGGCUGCUGCUCCGCAGCGUUCGUGGUGACGAAAAGGAGGUGUAUCACAUGCAGUACGUGGCUUGGCCGGAUCAAGGUGUGCCGCAAAGCAGCGUCACACUAAUGGAAAUGAUCAAUACCAUCGCCAAGUCGCCGCGUAGCACACAGUCGCCGAUCGUGGUGCACUGCUCCGGUGGCAUUGGGCGGACGGGUGUCUUCAUUGGUCUGCACAUCGCCCUCGCGCAGUUUCAACUUGGUCAAGCAAACAUCAGCAUUCCUUGCAUCGUACGCCACUUAAAGGCGUGCCGCACCGGGAUGGUGCAGCGCAAGGAUCAGUACAUCUUUCUCUACUACGCGGUGCAGCGCGAGAUGGAGCGCAUGAUCCUAUCCCAGAAAGCCGGCGUCAAUCUGCUCGACAGCCGACCACGCUUGGCAGCCGCCGCGGCGACCCGCGCUGAGCCAGCCCCGACGCAGAUAGCCUCCCCGCUGAUCAUGCCCAUGCCCGUCCAGGCCCGCGGGCGGCACAUGUUUUCCAUCUCCACGCCGCUCCGCUCGUCGACGUCAGCCUAUCCCACCGAGCUUCGCUCCACGCCGAUCCAAGUCCCAGAAAACCGGAACGCCGAGGACGACGCGGCCACCAUGGAGAACUACCUGCAACGCGUAGGGUCGCCGCCCAGUUUGGGGCGUAGCCCAAGCCUGAGCUAUCCGGUCGAUUGCUCGUUUUCCGUGGAGACCUUACACCACCCAUUUCGCCAAACCUCACUGUCGCCCCCAUCACUCCCCAACUCCAUCCCGCGUGAGCCGGACGCACACUGGCGCCAGGUCGGCACCUCUCGAUCGAGCACGAGCUACAUGUCAGAGAGCACGACACCACUGCUUCGGGCCACAUCGCUCCUGCGAGAGGAACUUGCACGACAGCAGCAGGCAAAUCGCGUGAAGCGCUUCUCGCCUUCGUUUGUGUAAGGUAUUGGCGACUGCUUGAACGCUUCGUCGGCCGGGACGCCGUCGUGUGUGCCCAGAGCGCGCGCCGCGCCAAGUGGAGCUCUAGGCUUUGCAGUGCGCGUCGGCUCGCUGCUGCCUGUUGUAACUGCUACCUCCGCUUGCUUUCGUUUUGGAACCCAAAACCAUGUUGACGAUAUAGAACGCCACUUUAUCUCUUCAUUUAUUUUUCCGUUUUUCAG
rnacentral:misc_RNA from 1 species